AUGGGAAUCGAACCCACAGUGUUCCGCUUACCGGGCAGAUGCCAUGUCCACUAGGCU
rnacentral:tRNA from 1 species